rnacentral:rRNA from 1 species
CGCGUAGGUGGUUUCUUAAGUCAGAGGUGAAAGGCUACGGCUCAACCGCAGUAAGCCUUUGAAACUGGGAAACUUGAGUGCAGGAGAGGAGAGUGGAAUUCCUAGUGUAGCGGUGAAAUGCGUAGAUAUUAGGAGGAACACCAGUUGCGAAGGCGGCUCUCUGGACUGUAACUGACACUGAGGCACGAAAGCGUGGGGAGCAAACA